rnacentral:rRNA from 1 species
AACGAACGCUGGCGGCAGGCCUAACACAUGCAAGUCGAGCGAGGACUUCGGUCCUAGCGGCGGACGGGUGAGUAACGCGUGGUGACGUGCCCUUUGCUUCGCAAUAGCCCUGGGAAACUGGGAGUAAUACCGGAUGAGCCCCCUCGUGGAUAGAUUUAUCGGCGAAGGAUCGGCCCGCGUUGUCUUAGGUAGUUGGUAGGGUAAUGUCCUACCAAGCCGACGAUCCAUAGCUGGCUUGAGAGGAUGAUCAGACACACUGGUACUGAGACACGGCCCAGAAUACUACGCGAGGCAGCAGUGCGCAAUCUUAGACAAUGGGGGAAAUCAUGAUCUAGCCAUGACGCGUGAGCGAUGAAGGCCUUAGGGUUGUACAGCUCGUUAAGCUGGGAAGAUAAUGACGGUACCAGCAGAAGAAGCACCGGCUAACUCCGUG